GAUGAAGAACGUAGUGAAAUGCGAUAAGUAAUGUGAAUUGCAGAAUUCAGUGAAUCAUCGAAUCUUUGAACGCACAUUGCGCCCGCCAGUAUUCUGGCGGGCAUGCCUGUUCGAGCGUCAUUUCAACCAUCAAGCCCCCGGCUUGUGUUGGGGACCUGCGGCUGCCGCAGGCCCUGAAAACCAGUGGCGGGCUCGCUGUCACACCGAGCGUAGUAGAUUUUCAUCUCGCUCAGGGCGUGCUGCGGGUUCCGGCCGUAAAAAGCCUUAUUUACCCAAGGUUGACCUCGGAUCAGGUAGGAAGACCCGCUGAACUUAAGCAUAUCAAUAAGCGGAGA
rnacentral:misc_RNA from 1 species